GGUAUUUUGACCGUGCAAAGGUAGCAUAAUCAUUAGUUUUUUAAUUGAAAGCUGGAAUGAAAGGUUGGAUGAGAAAUAAGCUGUCUCUAUUUAAUUUUAUUAGAAUUUUAUUUUUAAGUAAAAAAGCUUAAAUUUUAAUAGAAGACGAGAAGACCCUAUAGAGUUUUAUUUAUUUUUUAAAUAAAAUUAAUAGUAUUAAUUAUUUUUAUUUAAAAUAUAAAUUUAGUUGGGGUGAUUGAAAAAUUUAAUAAACUUUUUUUAUAUGUAUACAUUAAUAUAUGAUUAAUUGAUCCUUAAUUUAAGAUUAAAAGAUAAAAUUACCUUAGGGAUAACAGCGUAAUUUUUUUUGAGAGUUCUAAUCGAAAAAAAAGAUUGCGACCUCGAUGUUGGAUUAAAAUAAAAUUUUGGUGUAGAAGCUAAAA
rnacentral:rRNA from 1 species